ACCCUCUAGACCCCUAACCCAGCAGAUUUAAACAUUGGUCUGAGUGGCUGUAAAAGGAGGAAAAGUAAAACUGAAACCCACUUGGAUUCUUUUGUGAGAAACAAGCUGGUUUCAAACAAAG